UAAUGUAUGGGGAUCUGCCCGAUAGAGGGGGAUAACUACUGGAAACGGUGGCUAAUACCGCAUAAUGUCUACGGACCAAAGCAGGGGCUCUUCGGACCUUGCACUAUCGGAUGAACCCAUAUGGGAUUAGCUGUAGGUGGGGUAAAGGCUCACCUAGGCGACGAUCUCUAGCUGGUCUGAGAGGAUGAUCAGCCACACUGGGACUGAGACACGGCCCAG
rnacentral:rRNA from 1 species